rnacentral:rRNA from 1 species
AGAGUUUGAUCCUGGCUCGGGACGAACGCUGGCGGCGUGCCUAACACAUGCAAGUCGAGCGGAGACAGUGAGUAGCUUGCUAUGAGCUGUUUUAGCGGCGGACGGGUGAGUAACGCGUGAGCAACCUUUCCCAGACAGGGGAAUAACACACCGAAAGGUGUACUAAUACCGCAUAAGACCACGGGGUCACAUGGUUCUGGGGUAAAAGAUUUAUCGGUUUGGGGUGGGCUCGCGUCCGAUUAGGUAGUUGGUGAGGUAACGGCCCACCAA